rnacentral:rRNA from 1 species
GACGAACGCUGGCGGCGCGCUUAACACAUGCAAGUCGAACGGAAAGGCCUGCUUUCCCUUGUGGAUUUCGGGUACUCGAGUGUCGAACGGGUGAGUAACACGUGAGUGAUCUGCCCCCAACUUGUGUAUAAGCCUGGGAAACUGGGUCUAAUUCCCGAUAGGACUGCAGGGUGGUGCCCGUUGUUGAAUACGAUUUUCUAGUUGUUGGGGAUGCGCUCGCGGCCUAUCAGCUUGUUGGUGGGGGAAUGGCCUACCAAGGCGGCGAGGGGUAGCCGGCCUGAGAGGGUAGACGGUGACAUUGUGACGGAGAAACGUCGCAGAGUCCUGCGGGAGGAAGGCAUUGGGAAGAAUGCACCAGGGGCGGACGCCUAUUGGAGCGACGCCGCGUGGGGGAUGACGGCGUUUGGGUUGUAACCUACUUUCGACGGCGAGGAAGCCACCUGGUUGGAAGGGUGGUGACGGUAGUGGUAGAAGAAGCACCGGCUAACUACGUG